rnacentral:misc_RNA from 1 species
GAUGAAGAACGUAGCGAAAUGCGAUACUUGGUGUGAAUUGCAGAAUCCCGUGAACCAUCGAGUCUUUGAACGCAAGUUGCGCCCGAAGCCAUUAGGCCGAGGGCGCGCCUGCCUGGGCGUCACACGUCGUUGCCCCCCCAUCUACUCCUUCGGGAUUGCGGGGGGCGGAUGAUGGCCUCUCGUGCGCCUCGUCGCGCGGUUGGCCUAAAUGCCAAGUCCUCGGCGACGCACGCCACGACAAUCGGUGGUUGCGAAACCUCGGUUGCCUGUCGUGUGCGGUCGUCGCGCAUCGAGGGCUCGAAAAAAUUGCCGGGCUUCGGCUCGACUUUCAACGCGACCCCAGGUCAGGCGGGGUUACCCGCUGAAUUUAAGCAUAUCAAUAAGCGGAGGA